GACGAACGCUGGCGGCGUGCUUAACACAUGCAAGUCGAACGGAAAGGCCCUGCUUUUGUGGGGUGCUCGAGUGGCGAACGGGUGAGUAACACGUGAGUAACCUGCCCUUGACUUUGGGAUAACUUCAGGAAACUGGGGCUAAUACCGGAUAGGAGCUCCUGCUGCAUGGUGGGGGUUGGAAAGUUUCGGCGGUUGGGGAUGGACUCGCGGCUUAUCAGCUUGUUGGUGGGGUAGUGGCUUACCAAGGCUUUGACGGGUAGCCGGCCUGAGAGGGUGACCGGCCACAUUGGGACUGAGAUACGGCCCAGACUCCUACGGGAGGCAGCAGUGGGGAAUAUUGCACAAUGGGCGGAAGCCUGAUGCAGCAACGCCGCGUGCGGGAUGACGGCCUUCGGGUUGUAAACCACUUUCGCCUGUGACGAAGCGUGAGUGACGGUAACGGGUAAAGAAGCACCGGCUAACUACGUG
rnacentral:rRNA from 1 species